UACGGAGGGUGCGAGCGUUGUCCGGAAUCAUUGGGCGUAAAGGGCGCGUAGGUGGCGGGACAAGCGUGCGGUGAAAGCCUGGGGCUCAACCCCGGGUCGGCCGUGCGAACUGUUUUGCUUGAGCACUGUAGAGGCAGGCGGAAUUCCGGGUGUAGCGGUGGAAUGCGUAGAGAUCCGGAGGAACACCGGUGGCGAAGGCGGUUCUCUGGGCAUUACCUGACGCUGAGGAGCGAAAGUGUGGGGAGCGAACAGG
rnacentral:rRNA from 1 species